rnacentral:ncRNA from 1 species
GUUGCGCCCGCUGUUUCAGGUGCUUGUCGAUGCGUCACUUAAGGCGCAUCUGGGCAAGGUAAACGGGAAGUGUGGUGAAUGAACAUUGUUUAUUAAUCCACCGCUGCCCCCGCAACGGUAAAAGCGCAUUAUGGCGCUAAGCCCGACACCGGCCUGAAAAACAGUUGAUUA